AAAUAUACUGAUUGCAAAAUCUCUUCCACUGUCUCAUCACCAUUCAGUUAAUUGAAGCUGCUGUUGCCACAGAUGGUAAAAGCAGAAUAAGUAAAGUGUACGUCAUUGGUGAUGUUGCAUGUGGUUUGAGUCUGUAAAAGAAAGUAAUAAGGCAUGUUCAGCUUGCUGUGACACAACCAUAGUAUUGUAUAAUUUAAAACUUCCUGCUGCAAUCUUCUACAGGCCUAUGAUAUUUAAUAAAUACCAACGAGCUAUUGCUGCUGGUGAGUAAACCCACUGAUGCUGGUGAUGGCACAACCCUCUUCUUGAGGUCACUUCACUGCCCUUGAUAUUUUCCAGGACAAUCUGAGCCUUAGUGACUGACGUGCCUCAGGAGUAAAUGCUUCUAUCCCACAGGAAGAAAGACGGCAAAUAACAAGCAUUUUAAGAAUGGACUUUUUAAUUCAACACAGGAAUGAAUCAUGGCUCGGAGAGACAUUGAGGAGCAGGUUAUAAUUCUCCUAAAAGAAACAAAAAGAAAGAAAGAAAGAAAGAAAGAAAGAAAGAAAG